GAAAUGCGAUAAGUAGUGUGAAUUGCAGAAUUCAGUGAAUCAUCGAAUCUUUGAACGCACAUUGCGCCCCUUGGUAUUCCAUGGGGCAUGCCUGUUCGAGCGUCAUUUGUACCUUCAAGCUCUGCUUGGUGUUGGGUGUUUGUCCCCGUCUCCGCGCGUGGACUCGCCCCAAAGUGAUUGGCAGCCGGCGUACUGGUCCCGGAGCGCAGCACAUGUCGCGCAAACGAGUGCCUUGGUACGGCGGCGUCCAUAAGCCCCUCUCUCACGCUCUUGACCUCGGAUCAGGUAGGGAUACCCGCUGAACUUAAGC
rnacentral:misc_RNA from 1 species